AACGAACGCUGGCGGCAUGCCUAACACAUGCAAGUCGAACGAGACCUUCGUGUCUUGUUGCGCACGUGUGCGUAACGCGUGGGAAGCUGCACUUAGGUUCGGUAUCCCUCCCCGUGAGGGGUGCUAAUACCGGAUAAUGUAUUAGGACCAAAGAUUUCUUGCCUUUGGAUGGGCCCGCGUUGGAUUCGCGAGUUGGUAGUGUAAAAGCCUACCAAGGAGACGAUCCAUAGCUGGUCGGUGAGGAGGAUCAUCCACACUGGAACUGAGACACGGCCCAGACUCCUACGCAAGGGAGCAGAAGAGAAUAUAGGAGGAGGGACGAUGGCCUGAUAAAGCAGUGCCGGGUAAGUGAUGAAGGCCGUAGGGAAGUAAUUCUCUUUUACCCGGGGCGAUAAUGACAGUACCGGGAAAAUAAGCACCGGCUAACUACGUG
rnacentral:rRNA from 1 species